CUUGGAGAACCUUUAUGUCUAGCUAAGGGAUUGUAAAUACGCCAGUUGGCACUCUGUAUCUAGCUCAAGGUUUGUAAACACACCAAUCAGCACCCUGUGUCUAGCUCUGGGUUUGGGAAUGCACCAAUUGACACUCUGUAUCUAGCUAACCUAGUGGGGACGUGGAGAACCUUUGUGUCUAGCUCAGGGAUUGUAAACGCACCAAUCAGCAC
rnacentral:lncRNA from 10 species